UCGAGGGGCAUCAGUUUGGUUUGCUUGCAAACCAAAGCUGGCGACCGGCGCACGGGUGAGUAACACGUAUCCAACCUGCCUCAUACUCGGGGAUAGCCUUUCGAAAGAAAGAUUAAUAUCCGAUAGCAUAUAUUUCCCGCAUGGGUUUUAUAUUAAAGAAAUUCGGUAUGAGAUGGGGAUGCGUUCCAUUAGUUUGUUGGCGGGGUAACGGCCCACCAAGACUACGAUGGAUAGGGGUUCUGAGAGGAAGGUCCCCCACAUUGGAACUGAGACACGGUCCAAACUCCUACGGGAGGCAGCAGUGAGGAAUAUUGGUCAAUGGACGCGAGUCUGAACCAGCCAAGUAGCGUGAAGGAUGACUGCCCUAUGGGUUGUAAACUUCUUUUAUAUGGGAAUAAAGUGGUCCACGUGUGGAUUUUUGUAUGUACCAUAUGAAUAAGGAUCGGCUAACUCCGUGCCAGCAGCCGCGGUAAUACGGAGGAUCCGAGCGUUAUCCGGAUUUAUUGGGUUUAAAGGGAGCGUAGGCGGAUUGUUAAGUCAGUUGUGAAAGUUUGCGGCUCAACCGUAAAAUUGCAGUUGAUACUGGCAGUCUUGGGUGCAGUAGAGGUGGGCGGAAUUCGUGGUGUAGCGGUGAAAUGCUUAGAUAUCACGAAGAACUCCGAUUGCGAAGGC
rnacentral:rRNA from 1 species